UGGUGAUGGUGUAGUCAAACCAGCAGAGAAAAGAAACCCGGAUUUUAAAGGUACAACACCCAAGAUGCUGCUGUGGGGUGUAUCUGGAGGUGCCUUGUAGCAAAGUUCCGCUGCUGAUGGCUGAAGUCUUGCUCUCAAACAGAUUUCCCAAUAUUAAAUCAGUUUUGCCAGGUGAAGACAAGAUGGAGCCCCAGUAAGCAGCUUGUGGAUUUAAAAUCCCCCAGCCUUUAAUGAAAUUCCUGCGGGCUGCUGUGUCCUUCCCUUGUGAGCUGAAGCUGCAGGCACGCAGGCCGGGGCCACCACAGUUGUGAAUGUGCCAUCGCCGCGCAUUACCGCCGCUCUGCUGCAUCGCUGUGGCAUGAAUGGGGGGUGACAUGUGCAUGCCCACAGGUCCACGUGAGAGAGGUGGGGGUGAGGAAGGGAGGAUAUUUUUAAACCUGAAUGUAAGAGGAGUGUGUGUGGAAAAAUA